rnacentral:rRNA from 1 species
GAUACUGGCGGACGGGUGAGUAACACGUGGGUAACCUGCCUGUAAGACUGGGAUAACUCCGGGAACCGGGGCUAAUACCGGAUGCUUGUUGAACCGCAUGGUUCAAACAUAAAAGGUGGCUUCGGCUACCACUUACAGAUGGACCCGCGGCGCAUUAGCUAGUUGGUGAGGUAAUGGCUCACCAAGGCAACGAUGCGUAGCCGACCUGAGAGGGUGAUCGGCCACACUGGGACUGAGACACGGCCCAGACUCCUACGGGAGGCAGCAGUAGGGAAUCUUCCGCAAUGGACGAAAGUCUGACGGAGCAACGCCGCGUGAGUGAUGAAGGUUUUCGGAUCGAAAGCUCUGUUGUUAGGGAAGAACAAGUACCGUUCGAAUAGGGCGUACCUUGAGGUACCUAACCAGAAAGCCACGGCUAACUACGUGCCAGCAGCCGCGGUAAUAAAG